AACGAACGCUGGCGGCAUGCCUAACACAUGCAAGUCGAACGAAGUCUUCGGACUUAGUGGCGCACGGGUGCGUAACGCGUGGGAAUCUGCCCUUGGGUACGGAAUAACUCAGAGAAAUUUGUGCUAAUACCGUAUAAUGUCUUCGGACCAAAGAUUUAUCGCCCAAGGAUGAGCCCGCGUAAGAUUAGCUAGUUGGUGGGGUAAAAGCCUACCAAGGCGACGAUCUUUAGCUGGUCUGAGAGGAUGAUCAGCCACACUGGGACUGAGACACGGCCCAGACUCCUACGGGAGGCAGCAGUGGGGAAUAUUGGACAAUGGGCGAAAGCCUGAUCCAGCAAUGCCGCGUGAGUGAUGAAGGCCUUAGGGUUGUAAAGCUCUUUUACCAGGGAUGAUAAUGACAGUACCUGGAGAAUAAGCUCCGGCUAACUCCGUGCCAGCAGCCGCGGUAAUACGGAGGAGCUAGCGUUGUUCGGAAUUACUGGGCGUAAAGCGCGCGUAGGCGGUUUUUUCAAGUCAGAGGUGAAAGCCCAGUGCUCAACACUGGAACUGCCUUUUAGAAACUGGAAAAUCUUGAAUCUUGGAGAGGUCAGUGGAAUUCCCGAGUGUAGAGGUGAAAAUUUCGUAGAUAUUCGGAAGAACACCAGUGGGCGAAGGCGACUGACUGGACAAGUAUUGACGCUGAGGUGCGAAAGCGU
rnacentral:rRNA from 1 species